rnacentral:lncRNA from 1 species
AUAUUUUCUAUGUUUGUGUUGUGUAGGUCAAAAAAUAAUAAACAAAGAUGACCAAGAGAUUAAUUUUAAGACACAUCAAUCUUCAUCAUCUUUAAAUAAAAAGGAUAAACAUUAUGGAUUUCCAUUAUCUCAAGCAAAAACAAAGAGUUCAAAAUAUUGGUGGUAAGAACUGUCAAAAACUUGUGAUAGCUAUGAUGAAGAGUUUUAUGACAAAUUCACUCAUGGCCAAAUCUAAUAUGGCAGCUGGAAAAGGCAAAGAAUCUUUUUAGUCUAACCAAGCUAUACAACUUAAUAAAAGUUUGUGCAUCGACUUCUCACGAAUUAUACACAGAGUCGAUUGUCGAUGCAAUAAUUGCUGAUUCGUGAAAGCGGGAAACUUUUGCUUGUCUUGAAGUGCCUUAAAUCCAACAGAUAUCAUCGUUAUAAUAUUACUUUGUUUGUAAAUUGUUUUAAAAAAUAAAUUUAAAAAUAACUUUU